UGGGUAACACUAACUGGAGGACCGAACCCACUGUCGUUGAAAAGCCAGGGGAUGACUUGUGGAUAGGGGUGAAAGGCUAAUCAAGCCUGGUGAUAGCUGGUUCUCCCCGAAAGCUAUUUAGGUAGCGCCUCGGACGAAUACCAUAGGGGGUAGAGCACUGUUUCGGCUAGGGGGUCAUCCCGACUUACCAAACCGAUGCAAACUCCGAAUACCUAUGAGUACUAUCCGGGAGACAGACUGCGGGUGCUAACGUCCGUAGUCAAGAGGAAAACAAUCCAGACCGCCAGCUAAGGCCCCAAAAUCAUAGUUAAGUGGGAAACGAUGUGGGAAGGCAUAGACAGCUAGGAGGUUGGCUUAGAAGCAGCCACCCUUUAAAGAAAGCGUAAUAGCUCACUAGUCGAGUCGGCCUGCGCGGAAGAUGUAACGGGGCUAAAACUAUGUGCCGAAGCUGCGGAUGUAUACUUUGUAUACGUGGUAGGGGAGCGUUCUGUAAGCCGAUGAAGGUGUAUUGAGAAGUAUGCUGGAGGUAUCAGAAGUGCGAAUGCUGACGUGAGUAACGACAAAACGGGUGAAAAACCCGUUCGCCGAAAGACCAAGGGUUCCAGUCCAACGUUAAUCGGGGCUGGGUGAGUCGACCCCUAAGGCGAGGCCGAAAGGCGUAGUCGAUGGGAAAAUGGUUAAUAUUCCAUUACUUCUGUGUAAUGCGAUGAGAGGACGGAGAAGGCUAAAUCAGCCUGGCGUUGGUUGUCCAGGUGAAAGGAUGUAGGCAUGUAUCUUAGGCAAAUCCGGGGUACUCUAUGCUGAGAUCUGAUAGCAAGCUGUACUUGUACAGCGAAGUGGUUGAUGCCAUGCUUCCAGGAAAAGUCUCUAAGCUUCAGUUACACAGGAAUCGUACCCGAAACCGACACAGGUGGUCAGGUCGAGUAGACCAAGGCGCUUGAGAGAACUCUGCUGAAGGAACUAGGCAAAAUGGUACCGUAACUUCGGGAGAAGGUACGCUGUUGUUGGUGAUGGAACUCGCUUCCUGAGCUGACGACAGCCGCAGAAACCAGGCCGCUGCAACUGUUUAUUAAAAACAUAGCACUCUGCAAACACGAAAGUGGACGUAUAGGGUGUGAUGCCUGCCCGGUGCUGGAAGGUUAAUUGAUGGGGUUAGCGUAAGCGAAGCUCUUGAUCGAAGCCCCAGUAAACGGCGGCCGUAACUAUAACGGUCCUAAGGUAGCGAAAUUCCUUGUCGGGUAAGUUCCGACCUGCACGAAUGGCAUAAUGAUGGCGGCGCUGUCUCCAGCAGAGGCUCAGUGAAAUCGAAAUCGCUGUGAAGAUGCAGUGUACCCGCGGCUAGACGGAAAGACCCCGUGAACCUUUACUGCAGCUUGACACUGAACUUUGACCUUACUUGUGUAGGAUAGGUGGGAGGCUUUGAAGCUGGAACGCUAGUUCCAGUGGAGCCGUCCUUGAAAUACCACCCUGGUAAUGUUGAGGUUCUAACUCUGUCCCGUGAUCCGGGACGAGGACCGUGUCUGGUGGGUAGUUUGACUGGGGCGGUCUCCUCCUAAAGAGAAACGGAGGAGUACGAAGGUGCGCUCAGCGUGGUCGGAAAUCACGCGUAGAGUAUAAAGGCAAAAGCGCGCUUAACUGCGAGACCCACAAGUCGAGCAGGUACGAAAGUAGGUCUUAGUGAUCCGGUGGUUCUGUAUGGAAGGGCCAUCGCUCAACGGAUAAAAGGUACUCUGGGGAUAACAGGCUGAUACCGCCCAAGAGUUCAUAUCGACGGCGGUGUUUGGCACCUCGAUGUCGGCUCAUCUCAUCCUGGGGCUGAAGCAGGUCCCAAGGGUAUGGCUGUUCGCCAUUUAAAGAGGUACGCGAGCUGGGUUUAGAACGUCGUGAGACAGUUCGGUCCCUAUCUACCGUGGGCGCUGGAAAUUUGAGAGGAUCUGCUCCUAGUACGAGAGGACCAGAGUGGACGAACCUCUGGUGUACCGGUUGUGACGCCAGUCGCAUCGCCGGGUAGCUAUGUUCGGAAGGGAUAACCGCUGAAAGCAUCUAAGCGGGAAGCCUACCUCAAGAUAAGAUUUCCCUAGGACUUUAUGUCCUCUAAAGAGCCGUUCGAGACUAGGACGUUGAUAGGUUGGAUGUGGAAGCAUAGUGAUAUGUGAAGCUGACCAAUACUAAUUGCUCGUGAGGCUUGACUAUACAACACCCAAGCAGUUG
rnacentral:rRNA from 1 species